rnacentral:lncRNA from 1 species
AUAACAUAAGCCUAUGCCUGUCCUUGGUGUCUGCGUCCUUCCUGUUGACCCAGUCAAUAGGCAAAAAUAAAUAAAUAAAUAAAACGUAAGUGAAGGUAAGGCCGGGCAAGGGAAGUUAAGGAAACGGGGAAGGGGAGGGAAGACGACAGGGGAGUGAAGGGAAAAAAUAAUAAAAACCUCUCUGGAGGAGGACCAACGCCUUAAAAGCAUGCCCAGAAGGAUACAAGGAAUUUGCAAACCAGACCAAAGUUCUCAGUCCUUACCCUGGCGUUCUCUGAGGCUCCUACCCACCAUUAAAACUCAUCAGCAUGAAACAUCUCCAGAAACAAGCAAACAACAACCAACCAACCAAACCAAAAACCCAUAUCACGUAUUUUGGGGUGGUGCCGUUCCAGAAUGGCAGCCAUUCAGAACGGUGCCAUUCCAAGUCCACCCCAUACCCAGAGCCCAUCCCAUCCACAUCCCAUUGCCCAAUAUCCCAUCCCAUAUCCAUCCCAUAUCCGUAUCCCCACAUCCCAGGCCCAAAUCUCACAUUCCCAUCCCACAUUCAACAUCCCAACCCCACGUCCCAACCCCACAUCCUACAUCCCACAUCCCAAUUCCAAAUCUCAUUCCCAGCCCCUCCUCCCGAGCCCAUCACCCACCUGUCCAUCUCAUUCCCUCAUCCCAGCCGCAAUCCCACAACCCCGAUCCCGAUCCCAUCCCCUAUGGCAACAGAGAGCACCCCGAGGCCCCCCCACAGCCGCUCUGCCCCGCCCCCGGCCUCUCAUUGGUCAGGGGCAGUUCCGGCCCGUUCGUGCCUCUCAUUGGCCAGCGGCAGCUCCGGCCUCUCACUGGUCAGGGGCAGUUCCGGUCCGUUCGUGCCUCUCAUUGGUCAGCGGCAGCGCCGCCGGCUCCGAUUGGCUGAGGCGCGGCGCGCGGGAACGGCCGUUGGCAGCCGGCUCUCCCCUCAGGCGGUGCCGGUCCCACAGCCGCUGCGCGCCGGAGCUGUCCGGGCAGCACCGAGACGGAACCGCGGCGCGACGGGAGCGGUGCUGAGGACAGCGGCGCCGGAGCCGGGAGGGACGGAGAGCGGCGCCGGGCCGGGGAGGGAACCCUGCGCGGCCAUAAGGGCCCCAUCCAAUCUGGCCUUGAACACCUCCAGGGAUGGAUGGGGCAUCCACAACCUCCUUGGGCAGCCUGUUCCAGCCUGUUCCACCACUCUCUGUAAAG